UGGGACCUCGGGGUGGCUGGUGGGUGGUUGCUCCCUAAUUUGCUUGCCGUGGUAGGCAGGGCCUGGCAAGGAGCUUGUAGGUUCGGAGUGGUCCUCUGGGCCACUGGAGUGCUGAACUGACUGGCUGGCGUUGUAGGCCUGGACCGUGGUUCUGGCAAAGUGCCCAGGGGAGCAGCCAUCUUGGGGGAAGUUGGCUCCAGAAGGGAGCUGGUGGCCAUUUUGUUUAGCGGGAAGCUGUGAGGGGAGUCUCUGGCGGUAGGCGCCAUCUUGGAGAGUUCAGGCAGGGGAGUCCUUACCGGGAUGGCAGGCAUCUCUGCAAAUACUUGACAUAUUUGUAUGUUGACCAAUGGUCAACAAGGAGCCUUGAUGGUGCAGAGGACUAAAGUGCUGUUAAGUAGCACUUAGCUGCCAGCUGCCUGCAAUUACUGCGAGUUCAAGUCUCACCAGGCUCAAGGUUGACUCAGCCUUCCAUCCUUCUGAGAGCAAAGAGAGUUGCAUGCUGUAAUGAAUCUUUUCAAGCAUGUAUAAGACAGUAGACGUAAGUACAACCAAGAAUGUCUCCUUGUCUUUCUUACCGGACUCCGUAUCAGCACAGUUAAGAAAAGGAGCAGCCCCCGGACUCCCAAGUGAGACGAUUGGAAUGAAAAGGCAAAGAGAAGGCCCCGAUUCUGGCUUCAGUGCUGUUGAUUUUAUAUGAUGUCCAAGUCCAUUAUGUCUCAGCAUUUUGUGCAAAGAAGGUCACUGAAAAUCUGUGAAUCUUAUCAAUUCACCCUUAGAAUGCCAGGGAGGAAAAUUGAAUAUUCCACAAUUGUUGACUGAUUCCAGGAGGACUGCUUAAUUUUUAAGUCUUGUGGUUGUAUUUUGUAUUGUUGCAUCUGAGCUGUGGCUCACGAAGUGAAAAUUGUUGCAAGAGUCAGAAUUGUCAUCAGGAGGAGAAUCACAUUCAGAGACUUGGUUGCUGGAGCGUAAUAAGAAUAAAGACAUAAAAGCAUUAUUAGCAAUCUUUCUAGACUGAACUUAGGGAGUCAGCCUGAAGUCCACCCCAGGAUGGUGCAUUCUGGUGAUUUGGCUAAAUGGGUCUCCACAUUGAAAGCAGUUGAGUGUGUAAAUGGCUUUGUUUCUGCUGCAUCUGUUUGUUGCAGAUGUUUGCAAUAGAACGGAGUACUGGCUGCAUGUGAAAAGUAAGCCCUAUUAUUUACUACCUAUACACCUUACAUACACCCCACACAUUCAAUCCUUAAAAGCUGAAAGGAACAAGAGACUCCCUGAAUCAGGGAGGCACAUGGGUCAUUUUUUGUCUCCAGACUGACUUUCCAUAAAUGGAAUGGAGGUCCUCUACAUUACCAGCCCAGACACUUGAGGGUCUUCCUAAAAUAAUUUAUUUUUCUUGUUAACCAGAAAGGGGGACGACUUCCCACAGCACGAUGGGCUUACCAGCUCUUGAGCACUGGGAGGAGGAUUCCAGGAUCCCUUCUAAAGAGUCCAGGAACGGCUGCCCCAGCCAGGACUCGAAUGUUCUUCUCUCUCCCACUGGCACAAUUUUAACCGUAGAAUCCUUGAAGAUUAAAUCCUGCUUUUGGAA